CCCGCACAAGCGGUGGAGCAUGUGGUUAAUUCGACGCAACGCGAAGAACCUUACCAGGGCUUGACAUCUACAGAAUCCUGAGGAAACUCAGGAGUGCCCUUCGGGGAACUGUAAGACAGGUGGUGCAUGGUUGUCGUCAGCUCGUGUCGUGAGAUGUUGGGUUAAGUCCCGCAACGAGCGCAACCCCUAUUGUUAGUUGCCAUCAUUCAGUUGGGCACUCUAGCGAGACUGCCGGUAAUAAACCGGAGGAAGGUGGGGAUGACGUCAAAUCAUCAUGCCCCUUAUGACCUGGGCUACACACGUGCUACAAUGGUUGGUACAACGAGUUGCGAGUCGGUGACGGCGAGCUAAUCUCUUAAAGCCAAUCUCAGUUCGGAUUGUAGGCUGCAACUCGCCUACAUGAAGUCGGAAUCGCUAGUAAUCGCGGAUCAGCACGCCGCGGUGAAUACGUUCCCGGGCCUU
rnacentral:rRNA from 1 species